rnacentral:rRNA from 1 species
UACGUAGGGGGCAAGCGUUUGUCCGGAAUCAUUGGGCGUAAAGAGCGCGUAGGCGGUCCGGUAAGUCGGUUGUGAAAACUGGGGGCUCAACCCUCAGAGGCCGACCGAUACUGUCGGGCUAGAGUCCGGAAGAGGCGAGUGGAAUUCCUGGUGUAGCGGUGAAAUGCGCAGAUAUCGUAAGGAAGACCAGUGGCGAAGGCGGGUCUCUGGACAGUUCCUGACGCUGAGGCACGAAGGCCAGGGGAGCAAACGGG